UAGCGGCGGACGGGUGAGUAACACGUGGGUAACUUACCUAUAAGACUGGAAUAACUCCGGGAAACCGGGGCUAAUGUCGGAUAACAUGUUGAACCGCAUGGUUCUACAGUGAAAGGCGGCUUUGCUGUCACUUAUAGAUGGACCCGCGCCGUAUUAGCUAGUUGGUGAGGUAACGGCUCACCAAGGCAACGAUACGUAGCCGACCUGAGAGGGUGAUCGGCCACACUGGAACUGAGACACGGUCCAG
rnacentral:rRNA from 1 species